rnacentral:rRNA from 1 species
AUGUCUUUUAUAAUCCCCUCUGGUAGAAAGAGCAGAGCUAAGAAAAGACCACCUAGGGUCUGGUAUGAUGAGGGCAGGCUGCAUCCAGAGCAGCAAUUCCAUCUUAGGCUUUGUUUCAGAGAUGUGUACCAGUUUAGAGAGGCUAUUGUGAAUUUGCAUGUGAAACAACUUAGAAGAUACAAAUAUCACAGAAACUGCAGUGAUAGGGUAAUAGUGUGUUGUGAUGGAGAGGGCUGUCAGUUCCACAUGGUUGCAGCAAAAAUCAGUAAUGAGCCCACUUUCUGCAUUAAGAAGAUGGUAUUGGAGCACACCUGUCCCACCCAAUCUGACAAGACAAGGGUCAGCUCCAAGUGGCUUGGCAACAAAAUGCUUGAAACUAUCAGAUCAGACCCCAACACUACUGUACCUGCUAUAGUUGACAAGGUAAAGAGGCAGUUUGAUGUUGAGGUGCCCAAGAUGAUGGCAUGGAGAGCAAAGAGGAAAGCAAAGGAGAUUGUGCUUGGAGAUCACAAGAGGCAAUACAAGAGGCUGAGAGAUUUUUUGGAGACUGUGAAGGCUACAAAUCCUGGAUCAAGAUGCAUUGUCAGUACUAUGAGUGGAAAAACAAGAGAAAACCCAACUGCAGGACCAAGGUUUCAUGGUCUUUUUUUCUGUUUGAAUGCAUGUGUUGAGGGAUUUUUGAAUGGAUGCAGGCCAUUCAUAGGCCUAGAUGGUUGUUUCAUUAAGUUAACUAGUGGGGCACAAAUACUAGCUGCUACUGGAAGGGAUGCAAACAACAAUAUGUACCCCAUAGCAUUUGGAGUGGUUGGAGUUGAAGACACACCAAAUUGGUCAUGGUUUUUGACUCAACUCAAAUAUGCCCUAGGAGGGACUGAAGAGGGAAAAUUUGGGAAGUACACAUUCAUGUCUGAUAGACAGAAGGGUCUGUUGAAUGCAGUCACAACAGUCUUUCCCAACUGCCCUCGUAGGUACUGCUUGAGGCACAUUUAUGCCAACUUUCAGAGAGCAGGAUUCAGAGGAGAAGACUUGAAGAAAUGCAUGGAUGCAGCUGCAUAUGCUUACACUGAACAUGACUUUCAGAUGGCAAUGGAGAGCAUGAAGGCUGAGUGCAAGGCUGCUUGGGAGUGGAUGUCAAGGAUUCCUCCAAAAGCAUGGUCAAGACAUGCAAUGGAUACUAACCGCAAAACUGAUCUGGUUGUCAAUAACUUAAGUGAAGUUUUUAAUAAGUACAUACUUGAUGUAAGGAACAAGCCAAUUGCCACCAUGAUCAAUGGGAUCAAGGACAAACUUCUGGUAAGGUAUCAACAAAAGAGAGAGGGUGGACUAGUUUCAAGAUGGGAAAUUGCACCAACUUAUGUUGAGAGGUUAGAGAUGAACAAGAGAUAUGCAAGGGACUGCAAAUCAUUGAUAGCUGGACCAGGUCUUUUCCAAGUGAGUAGUGGGGAUAAGACCUACUCUGUUGACACUAAUCUGAAAACAUGUGGUUGUAAGAAGUGGGACAUCUCUGGAAUUCCUUGCAACCAUGGUUGUUUUGCCAUCUACAGGUCCAAACAACUACCAGAGGACCAUGUAAAUAUUUUCUUCAAAAAGGCUAUGUACUUGGAGUCAUACAAGCCUAUCAUUUACCCAGUUCCUGGUCCUGAUUGUUGGGUGAAAAAUGCAACUCCUGACAUUGACCCACCUCAGUUCAAAGAAGACAAGAAGGGACCAGCAGAAGAGAAAAGGAAGAAAUGCAGGUUUGAGCCUCCUCAAGCAAAGCAGACAUCAAGAAUGGCUACAAUAACUUGUAGUAACUGCAAGUUGCAGGGCCACAAAUACACAAGUUGUGCAAAGCCAUUGAGGCCAGAUCUGCAAAUCAGGAAGAACAAACACAUGGAAAACAGGACAGCCCCUGCAUGGCAGCAAGGGGGGAGCUCAACAUCUGGUACAACAACUCCUAGGGGUGCAAGCUCUACAUCUGCUUCAAGGGGAUCUGCUGCUGCUGCUGCUUCAAGGGGCAAAUCUGCUAGAGCUGCUGCUACAUCUGCUGGUUCAUCUGCUAGAGCUGCAAAUUCUUCUCCUUCUGGUGCUGGUACUGCUGCUGCAAGGAGAGGUGCAAAAACAGGUGCAAGAAGCUUCAAUCCUCCAAAAACUACUGCAGAAGCUUCAACUAGCCAGCCAACAGGAAAUAGGCCAAAAAGGGCAAGAUACAUGAGCAAAAGGAUGGAGGGGUACUUCUAUGCCAGUGGGAACUACUGA